AGAUGAUCUGUGUGAGUUGUAGUACCUGAACUGAGUCCUCCUUCUUCCCUUCAACUCAUGUCAUGCUUUCUCUGUGCAGUAGAGCAGAACUGUAGCACCCAGAUACCUAACAGGUGAUCACCUACCAAGCUCUGCUCAGUCAGUGGUUUUACAAAGGAAGUCAGCCAACAGCACAAACUGGAACUGCUCCACUAUUUGAAGAGUUUUUGUUUGUAUCUUUGACUGGUGGCUUUUUUGCAACUGAAUAAACAAACAAACAAAAAAAAAAAACCAAAAUCCAUUAAUAAACAAUGC
ensembl:lncRNA